GACGAACGCUGGCGGCGUGCUUAACACAUGCAAGUCGAACGGAAAGGCCCUGCUUUUGUGGGGUGCUCGAGUGGCGAACGGGUGAGUAACACGUGAGUAACCUGCCCUUGACUUUGGGAUAACUUCAGGAAACUGGGGCUAAUACCGGAUAGGAGCUCCUGCUGCAUGGUGGGGGUUGGAAAGUUUCGGCGGUUGGGGAUGGACUCGCGGCUUAUCAGCUUGUUGGUGGGGUAGUGGCUUACCAAGGCUUUGACGGGUAGCCGGCCUGAGAGGGUGACCGGCCACAUUGGGACUGAGAUACGGCCCAGACUCCUAGGGAGGCAGCAGUGGGGAAUAUUGCACAAUGGGCGGAAGCCUGAUGCAGCAACGCCGCGUGCGGGAUGACGGCCUUCGGGUUGUAAACCGCUUUCGCCUGUGACGAAGCGUGAGUGACGGUAAUGGGUAAAGAAGCACCGGCUAACUACGUG
rnacentral:rRNA from 1 species